UGAAAAUGAUUUUUCUUCUCGCAACACCAUCAAUAGUUUCUAUUACCAUUAUUUGCACUUAUGUGAAAUUUGGAAUACAAGGUUCCCAGUUCUCAAUGAAAAAGGUUUGCAUGAUGCGUAUUUUACCAGAAACAUUUAUAAGCAUGUCUACUAUAACCAUCUUAAUUUUAUUACCACAUUUUUGGAUGAAGAAACUUUUCCUAAACAGAUAAUGUGGGUACUCUGGGGGGAUGGGGAGUUAUAUCUGUCUUAUUUUAAAGUACUCUGGUUUAUUUAUCAAUGAUGCGAUUCCUUCCCUUAGAUAAUUACAAAUGCAGAUAAAAACAUCAAACUGAGUGGCAUUUCAGAGAUAGUCUACUUCCAUAUUCUUUGUUGAAUUCUAGGUAUCAGCCAGAUUCUCACAUUGCUUGGAACUACUUUCAAUAAAAUUUCAUUUCUUUAACACCUUA